GAUCUUCGACGAAACUACAAUGCUUCGACAGAGGAGUUUUGAGACACAACUAGCAGAGCAGACAUAUCAUGGUGUCGGUAGUGAGGUGGAGCUUCAGGUGGAGACUCUAGAGACCUCAGAGGUAAUAGAUGUUCAAACUGCAGAUGAGGUCGCAGCUUCUGAAGUCGGUGAUAGUGAACAACCAAUACGGCCGCGGCGUAUUCUAGUUGAGGGAAGAC